rnacentral:rRNA from 1 species
AAGAAGAUGGAAACCUUCGGGCGGAAGGCUUCAUUUCGAGUGGCGGACGGGUGAGUAACGCGUGGGUAACCUGCCUCAUACAGGGGGAUAACAGUUGGAAACGACUGUUAAUACCGCAUAAGACCACAGCACCGCAUGGUGGGNGGGUAAAAACUCCGGUGGUAUGAGAUGGACCCGCGUUCGAUUAGCCAGUUGGCGGGGUAACGGCCCACCGAAGCGACGAUCGAUAGCCGAUCUGAGAGGAUGACCGGCCACAUUGGGACUGAGACACGGCCCAAACUCCUACGGGAGGCAGCAGUNGGGAAUAUUGCACAAUGGGGGAAACCCUGAUGCAGCGACGCCGCGUGAGUGAAGAAGUACUUCGGUAUGUAAAGCUCUAUCAGCAGGGAAGAAAAUGACGGUACCUGAGUUAGAAGCCCCGGCUAACUACGUGCCAGCAGCCGCGGUAAUACGUAGGGGGCAAGCGUUAUCCGGAUUUACUGGGUGUAAAGGGAGCGCAGACGGUUGCGCAAGUCUGAAGUGAAAUCCCGAGGCUUAACCACGGGACUGCUUUGGAAACUGUGCGACUUGAGUAUCGGAGGGGCAGGCGGAAUUCCUAGUGUAGCGGUGAAAUGCGUAGAUAUUAGGAAGAACACCGGUGGCGAAGGCGGCCUGCUGGACGAAAACUGACGUUGAGGCUCGAAGGCGUGGGGAGCAAACAGGAUUAGAUACCCUGGUAGUCCACGCGGUAAACGAUGAAUACUAGGUGUUGGUGCCCAAAGGGCAUCGGUGCCG